rnacentral:rRNA from 2 species
UGGGCGUAAGCGCGCGCAGGCGGUUUCUUAAGUCUGAUGUGAAAGCCCACGGCUCAACCGUGGAGGGUCAUUGGAAACUGGGGAACUUGAGUGCAGAAGAGAAAAGCGGAAUUCCACGUGUAGCGGUGAAAUGCGUAGAGAUGUGGAGGAACACCAGUGGCGAAGGCGGCUUUUUGGUCUGUAACUGACGCUGAGGCGCGAAAGCGUGGGGAGCAAACAGGAUUAGAUACCCUGGUAGUCCACGCCGUAAACGAUGAGUGCUAAGUGUUAGAGGGUUUCCGCCCUUUAGUGCUGCAGCUAACGCAUUAAGCACUCCGCCUGGGGAGUACGGUCGCAAGACUGAAACUCAAAGGAAUUGACGGGGGCCCGCACACGCGGUGGAGCAUGUGGUU